rfam:Lingula anatina scaffold1232, whole genome shotgun sequence.
AAGAUCAUACUUUUAGGGAUCAUUUCUAUAGUAUGUAUCGCCGGGACGUCAGGUAAAACUGAAACCGGACUGUACACUCUGAUGACGAGGUGCAGCAUCCCCUUCUGAGCGCGAAGUGGGCUCCAGGUGCUACUUCCGGGUAGCUGGCCUGGGGUCAUUGAUGACCGUUCCGCUCUUCCAUAAGUGGAGAGUUGGAGGAGCGGGAUGCAUUCAGAGGAGU